GACGUUGGGAAAGCGAGCGGCGGAUGGGUGAGUAACACGUGGGGAACCUGCCCCUAAGUCUGGGAUACCAUUUGGAAACAGGUGCUAAUACCGGAUAAUAAAGCAGAUCGCAUGAUCAGCUUUUGAAAGGCGGCGUAAGCUGUCGCUAAGGGAUGGCCCCGCGGUGCAUUAGCUAGUUGGUAAGGUAACGGCUUACCAAGGCGACGAUGCAUAGCCGAGUUGAGAGACUGAUCGGCCACAUUGGGACUGAGACACGGCCCAAACUCCUACGGGAGGCAGCAGUAGGGAAUCUUCCACAAUGGACGCAAGUCUGAUGGAGCAACGCCGCGUGAGUGAAGAAGGUUUUCGGAUCGUAAAGCUCUGUUGUUGGUGAAGAAGGAUAGAGGUAGUAACUGGCCUUUAUUUGACGGUAAUCAACCAGAAAGUCACGGCUAACUACGUGCCAGCAGCCGCGGUAAUACGUAGGUGGCAAGCGUUGUCCGGAUUUAUUGGGCGUAAAGCGAGCGCAGGCGGAAAAAUAAGUCUAAUGUGAAAGCCCUCGGCUUAACCGAGGAACUGCAUCGGAAACUGUUUUUCUUGAGUGCAGAAGAGGAGAGUGGAACUCCAUGUGUAGCGGUGGAAUGCGUAGAUAUAUGGAAGAACACCAGUGGCGAAGGCGGCUCUCUGGUCUGCAACUGACGCUGAGGCUCGAAAGCAUGGGUAGCGAACAGGAUUAGAUACCCUGGUAGUCCAUGCCGUAAACGAUGAGUGCUAAGUGUUGGGAGGUUUCCGCCUCUCAGUGCUGCAGCUAACGCAUUAAGCACUCCGCCUGGGGAGUACGACCGCAAGGUUGAAACUCAAAGG
rnacentral:rRNA from 1 species